rnacentral:rRNA from 1 species
CCUACGGGUGGCAGCAGUGAGGAAUAUUGGUCAAUGGGCGCGAGACUGAACCAGCCAAGUAGCGUGAAGGAUGACUGCCCUACGGGUUGUAAACUUCUUUUAUAAAGGAAUAAAGUGAGGCACGUGUGCCUUUUUGUGUGUACUUUAUGAAUAAGCAUCGGCUAACUCCGUGCCAGCAGCCGCGGUAAUACGGAGGAUCCGAGCGUUAUCCGGAUUUAUUGGGUUUAAAGGGAGCGUAGGUGGGUUGUUAAGUCAGUUGUGAAAGUUUGCGGCUCAACCGUAAAAUUGCAAUUGAUACUGGCAGUCUUGAGUACAGGUGAGGUAGGCGGAAUUCGUGGUGUAGCGGUGAAAUGCUUAGAUAUCACGAAGAACUCCGAUUGCGAAGGCAGCUUACUAAACUGCCACUGACAUUGAUGCUCGAAAGUGUGGGUAUCAAACAGGAUUAGAUACCCCUGUAGUC